CUGUGUCUCGCUAAAACUUCCGUCUCUUAAAGAGGGGCAUGCAGCCGCAGUCCCGGCAAUGAAUGCCCAAGUGGCCUUGAACAGUGUUAUUGACGUUGUUAUAGUGCUCUCUUAAACGAUCAUUUAGGCGCCUGCCUAUCUGUCCAAUAUAUUUACUGCCUCAAAAUGGGAAUUUGGGAAACCACAUUCGUUGCACACAUAGCAAAACGUUUUCUGUGCCCGGCAGAGCAACAACUCUGACGUGAUUUAGGCGCGUUUACACACUUACAGAGCCUUGCCAGCUUUUCCGGGGCUGAGAAAAGGACUGUGAUUUCUGCAGGUUUCCUAAUCUUUUUUAGCCUAUGGGAGACAUCAUGAACAUACGGUAGCACUGCAAACCUGUGUCUUUCAACCGGCUGGUUCCUUGACCGAGCGCGCUCAUCAUGUUUUGUGCACUUCAGAAGCUGUUCCGCAAUGGCUGAAAUUAAGGCCAAAAGGUAGCCAACCCAAGAAAGGCAAUCAGCCUGUGCAGCAACGCUAUGUUGCAUCUCGUGUGAGCAAGAUUUAUUGAGGCUGUUAAGGAGGCAAAGCUUUACAAUAUCUCAUUUGACUUUGUUGGACAGACAGGCAGGCGCCUAGACAAUCAUUUAGGAGAGCACGAUAACAACGUCCAUAACACUGUUCAAGGCCACUUCGGCAUCCAUUGCUGGGACUGCGGCUGCGUGCCCCUCUUUGAAGGUACGGAAGCUUUAGUGAGACACACGUCAUCCGGGAAACUGUAGAAGCAGAUUUCACUAGAAAACUGGUUAGUGUGUGCGUUAGUGACCCCUCUAUCGUGCUGACCCCUAGUGAAGUCUUGUAUCUCAACAGAUAGAAAUUCUAAUGUUUAUUUUUUUCAAAGGACGAUGUUCUUAGUACAGUUACUUGCUGUUAGACACCCCUUAUGACUCAUAUUCUGUGCAUGCCCGCUUUUGUACAAAUACGCAUGAUGUGGCAACGUAAUUAAAUAUUGUUGGAAGUCAGCGCAGUCUGUCGUCUCUCGCAGUUCUUGUCAUUCAAGCUGUACGUAAUUUUAUCUCAUUAAUUGCAAACUAUCCCAAGAAACUACCCUUGUUCAGUAUAAUUAUAAUGUUUGAUACGACCAUUUGCUGGCAAAUGUUAGUGUGAUAUUUAACUUGAACUUUUGCAUGACUGCCUGUGCCUGUGUUCUUUUAGUAACCAGAGUAUGGCUAAUUUAUUAAACCAUAUUUGCUAAUUUGCAUGCUCACAUGCUAUAGCAUGCCUUAAUCUUGAAUUACUGCAUCUAAGUGCAAAUAAUUUAGAAAUUUACUAUGUAUUUUAAAACACUGUCCACAUUUUGUGCUCAGCAAAAUCGUUUAAUCAACAGUGGUUUGUUUUUAUCAGGCCUCCUACUGCACUUUGCACCCAGGCACUAGUAGAUGUGGAAUAUGCACUCUUUUGAUUUAUAGUAAGAACCCAUUUUCAAACUAUAUAUUGUAUAUGUACCAGUGCCUUAGAGUUAAAAACUAAAAUUUAUAGAAACUGGUAUUGUAGUUAGAAAAACCGCUACACAGCACCUUUAACCCAGAGAACUCUCGUUUCACAAAAGAGGACAAACUAUGUAGGCACUAAAAAAUUCUACGUAUUUUUUGUGCUCAAGUAAUCUUGUUGGAAAUAAAAAAUUAGCAAUAAGGCUCCUGGCAUAAACCUCACUUAAAGCAUGUCUAUGCUUGGAAAGUAUUGUUUCAGUCUGAAAAAUGUUGGCCAGUUAUGCUUUACAUUGACUUUCCAAACUUUUCAUAAUGCUUUGCGAUUACAUUAGUGUACAAAAUAACAGGUGUCUUUCUUGUGCGUUUGCUCUGCAUUUCAAUUGCUUCCCUAAUUCACCUUCGCAAUAUGCCUUUUUUUAAGGCAUCAAAACUUGAAUUUUCGUUCACUGGAGCCUAAUACUAAAAAUUUAUUCCUUUAUGUGGCCCAAAACACUGCGAAUCAACCCAGGCUCUUUCAGUGCCGCUAUACAUAGUUUCUUCUCUAACAACAGAUUUGAUCAAUACAUAUAUUUUAGGUACCUUUGCGGGGAAUGUACAUGUUCUUGUACUUACCGAUGUGUUUGGUGAUUGUGCAUGUUUAUAUUUCAUGUGAUUUAUGUAUAUGUUGUACUCUGUAUUGCAGCAUGCAAUAAAUAUAUUUGCGUUUUCUUGAAAAUGCAGCAUAUAUCUUACCAGUCUGUGUUGCAUGUUAUUUGGAUAUGGAAAUCGUGAUAACCUUGGUGUUGAUAUACAUCCUCAAAAGUGUCAAGUUUGCUAGGUUGUAUUUGUGCAGUGAAGACAGGUUUUCCAAUAUACACCAUGAAUUACUAAUAUGUAAUGUGAUCCACACGUAUAGGUGUUGUGUAUGCCCAUCGAAGCCUCAAGGCCGGCUGUUCGACAGUGCGUUUGGAAGCCGAACUUGAACCUUCUGGCACACGCAAUAGUUGCGGGUGGAUCGCUGUACAUAGUAGUAAUUGAAGGCGUGUACUGCCGAAUCUGCCUUCCAUACACGCUAGAAAUAAAAGGGUGUACACCCUUCCAACACCCACACAGAUGGGCGUUAAUUUGGACGAGCACCCUUACACCCUAAAUUUAUUUUGCUGGACACCCUUCCUUUAGGGUGCUAUAGUGGCACCCCAACUGUAGGGUGUAGACAACAGCACCCUUAGCGUGUUCGUCUGGCGACAAACUGAUUUACACCCUUAAGGGGGUUAAAAUGUUGAGUGUGAUAAGCCGGUGUCGCGAGCAGAAAUAUUGUUUCAAAAGACCACUAUGCAACGUCUUAGGGCAAAAAUGACGCAUGAAUGGGGAAAGAGAUCACCCUAUCUUUUCAGAUCGAUUCCAGUCGUAGCGCGAUUGGCUCGAUCGCAAUUUCCGUGAGGUACUUCUAACCUUUUGUUCACUCGCGUUAAAAGCGUAGAAUAAAACUGCGUUCAGUUGAGCUCUUGUAUUGACGCUUGUAUUGGCUUGAGAGCAUACUGUAUCCGAUUGAAGAACUUCUGUUAAAAUACGGAAAUAAACGUUCGAGGCAAUAGCAGUCGCCCACUACCUGUGAUCGUUACUUUCUUGCUUGGGUGCACGUUUUAAUUGUGAUCAGAAAAAAAAGUUCUUUGCUCUGGCUUCUCCGCUGUGUUUCGUUGGUGCAACUUUUUGCAGUGCAGCAAGACGUGUUCCUUCGAAUGAUGUCUGGGCAGUCAAGGCAUUCGUGUCAGUAAGCAAGCAGUAAACGGGGUAUCAGUGCGAAAAAAUUUGGACAUACAAGAGAAACGAAUGGUAUCAUCAUUGACUCUUUUAUUUUACGAUUAAUUAAGUUGUGUUACUAAAGCGGAGAGUGGAUAUGCAUGAAAGUCAGAUUAUAUUGAUACUCAGCAAAAACAAGGUAACUUAUCAUUACUAAUCAAUCCUUUUCUUUUACUGAAAGGCAAAUUGCUGUUGUGCUGGAGCUGAGAAGAGGUCUGCUGCCUGCAAUGGGUCCAUCUCUCUCAAGUUAUUGCAGUAUUAUAGCUCUCAAGGUUCAAAAAAAUAUUGUGGAAGCUGUUGCCAAGGUUCCGACCAGAAAAGACAGCCAGUAUAAAAGGGUCCACGCCACUGAUCUCUACUACAGGGGAUGAACAGCACAUCGAGUGCCCUCGACUGAAGCCGGCCUUGUCCCGGAAGUUGGUGCUUCACAACUUCGCGGCACCACUUUGUUGCACGGCCUGUGGAGACAAGGUUUCUUAGACGUGGCCAUGGCCCUCAAGGAAGAUGCUGAGGCCACAGGCAGUUCCUCCAGUGACCUUGAAAAGGUCCCCUGGGGCACAAGUCUGGUUUGGCACCCCCACCUUUCUCCUGCAGCUUUUCUGUCUACUUAGCUAACCAGCAGCAAGUUUAUCCUUGCAAGCGUUUGGAGUCAAGAACAACUUUCACAGGCAGAAGUGCAAGACGAGUGAUUGAAGAAAAUAAAGUUGCUUCUGUG